GGCGAACGCUGGCGGCGUGCUUAACACAUGCAAGUCGAACGGAAAGGCCCUGCUUUUGUGGGGUGCUCGAGUGGCGAACGGGUGAGUAACACGUGAGUAACCUGCCCUUGACUUUGGGAUAACUUCAGGAAACUGGGGCUAAUACCGGAUAGGAGCUCCUGCUGCAUGGUGGGGGUUGGAAAGUUUCGGCGGUUGGGGAUGGACUCGCGGCUUAUCAGCUUGUUGGUGGGGUAGUGGCUUACCAAGGCUUUGACGGGUAGCCGGCCUGAGAGGGUGACCGGCCACAUUGGGACUGAGAUACGGCCCAGACGCCUACGGGAGGCAGCAGUGGGGAAUAGUGCACAAUGGGCGGAAGCCUGAUGCAGCAACGCCGCGUGCGGGAUGACGGCCUUCGGGUUGUAAACCGCUUUCGCCUGUGACGAAGCGUGAGUGACGGUAAUGGGUAAAGAAGCACCGGCUAACUACGUG
rnacentral:rRNA from 1 species